rnacentral:lncRNA from 1 species
UGUCUACUAUCAAUUUUGUUUAUGUAUCAUACAUAUCUGGAAUGUAUAUGAAAUCAUGAGAAACAUGACCUUCAUUUGGGUCAUCUAAACUGCAUAGUAUUAAUAUAAUGAUUUUCUAAAAUUCAGUUAAUCUGCAACUCAGAAUGCUUUUCUGGGUGCCUUUCAAGUUUUAUUGAAAAGCAAUUAGCUCUAUAUAACAAUGUUUGACAUUGUAAAACUGUAGCACAAUCCAGUUGUGCCUGUGUGGCAUCAAUCAGAAAGUAAGGAGUCCAGUUCGUGUUUAUUUAUUGGAAAUUAGCUUGGUGUUCUUUUAGGCAUGUAUGUGCAUAAUUGCCAAACUCUUUCAUUGGCUUUCUCAUUCUAUUCCAGCAGAAAUUUAUUUUAAUAACAUUUACCGGAUACUUACCUGGUACUAAAUGCCUGUUUUCCAGGUUCCCAGUCCACAUGUUCCUUUUGACUCAUGACCCCGAUGGUUGUGUUGUUCACUGACAUUUUUAACUUGUCCAAGUCUUAAAUUCCUCUUAUGUUGGAUCUUACAAUCCUUAACUCUCUGUUUUUUGCAUUCUCUAAUACAUACCGUUUUGGUCUGUUACAUCUAAGAAUGUCAUGCACCUCGAUCACAGUAAACAUUUCUUCCUUUUAAAGAUUAAUUUCUAGAGAAGAAAGAGAAUAUUCGCUCCUCAUCUCACUACCAUUAGAUAGCACAGUAGAUGGAUCUAAAUGGUGCUGUCUAAGUGAGAUAUAUGCAUACAAAACCAU